GUGAGGAGGCUAAGUCCAAGGCUUCGUUCAAAAAAGGCAAGCCGACCACGACCGACAAAAGAGGUAUCCACCAAGACGUCAAGUCAAAAAAAGAAAAAAAAAAACAAGAAAUUCAGAGACGUGUGUCCUUGCCGGGUUUGGUGAGCAACGAACAAAAUUACGACCAAUUCUUUCCUUUCUUCUUCCUUGCUUCC
rnacentral:ribozyme from 11 species